rnacentral:lncRNA from 1 species
UCUUUGUGAUUACUUUUAUUAGGGGCCCUGAAUGUAUUUCAUAAGUCAUUAAGCACACAUGAUUUAGAUAAACAAAAGAAUGAGGUAUAAACAGAGGUAAACAUGAGGAACUUUACAUUUAGAACCAAAAAAAGGAAAACUUAUGAAAUUCUGUAUAUCAGUAACAACUAUUUAAACUAUAGGAUCGUGUAGAAGUCUAACUUUUUAUGCUUAAGAAAUACUUUAUUAGCUGGCAUAGCUCUGAUAAAAUCAGGAAUCUGAGAAAUAUCUGACAGGAUUUGAUAUUUAUAAAUUAAAUUUCUCUUCAUUCAGUUGCUUCUGAGUAGUAAGGUCUAUGAUUUCCAAGUGCCAAAUGGUAAUUCAGUAUAAAAAUAUACAUACCAUGGAAACGUUCUCUACAGAAGAAUUCAAUUCUGCUUUUUCCCAGAAUACUUGUUGACAAACUCAGUGGCACUGAAGUGUUACAUGAGUCUUUAUGUCCCCCAGAGUCCAGUGAUAAGGGCACUUGAGACCAGCAAGGGUCAGUGCUUCUGGGAAUAUGAUGUUGGUUCUCAGAAUUUACAUAUUUUUCUCAUGAACUUUUAACAAUUUUUAUAACAAACUCAACAACUCUGAUU